GUAGGGAAUUUUCCGCAAUGGGCGAAAGCCUGACGGAGCAAUGCCGCGUGAGUGAUGACGGCCUUCGGGUUGUAAAACUCUGUUCUGAAGGAAGAAGUUCUGACGGUACUUCAGGAGAAAGCCCCGGCUAACUACGUGCCAGCAGCCGCGGUAAUACGUAGGGGGCGAGCGUUAUCCGGAAUUAUUGGGCGUAAAGCGCGCGCAGGCGGUCAUUUAAGUCAGGUGUGAAAGGCUGCGGCUCAACCGCAGAGCGGCACCUGAAACUGGAUGACUUGAGUGCAGGAGAGGAGAGCGGAAUUCCCGGUGUAGCGGUGGAAUGCGUAGAGAUCGGGAGGAACACCAGUGGCGAAGGCGGCUCUCUGGCCUGUUUCUGACGCUGAGGCGCGAAAGCGUGGGGAGCAAACAGGAUUAGAAACCCCAGUAGUCC
rnacentral:rRNA from 1 species